rnacentral:rRNA from 1 species
AGUGAACGCUGGCGGUAGGCCUAACACAUGCAAGUCGAACGGCAGCACAGUAAGAGCUUGCUCUUCCGGGUGGCGAGUGGCGGACGGGUGAGGAAUAUAUCGGAAUCUACUUUUUCGUGGGGGAUAACGUAGGGGAACUUGCGCUCAUACCGCAUACGACCUACGGGUGAAAGCAGGGGAUCUUCGGACCUUGCGCGAUUGAAUGAGCCGAUGUCGGAUUAGCUAGUUGGCGGGGUAAAGGCCCACCCAGGCGCCGAUCCGUAGCUGGUCUGAGAGGAUGAUCGGCCGCACGGGAACUGAGACACGGUCCAGACGCCUACGGGAGGCAGCAGUGGGGAAUAUUGGACAAUGGGCGCAAGCCUGAUCCAGCCAUACCGCGUGGGUGAAGAAGGCCUUCGGGUUGUAAAGCCCGUUUGUUGGGAAAGAAAAGCAGCAGGUUAAUACCCCGCUGUUCUGACGGUACCCAAAGAAUAAGCACCGGCUAACUUCGUG